UCCUGCCGGACCUGACUGCUAUCGGAUUGAUACUAAGCCAUGCGAGUCUUUGUAGUAAUACAAGGCAGACGGCUCAGUAACACGUAGUCAACCUACCCUAUGGACAAGAAUAAUCUCGGGAAACUGGGCAUAAUUCUUGAUAGAUCAUAAUGCCUGGAAUGGUUUAUGGUUAAAAUGAUUCGUCGCCAUAGGAUGGGACUGCGGCCUAUCAGCUUGUUGGUGAGGUAAUGGCCCACCAAGGCGAUUACAGGUACGGGCUCUGAGAGGAGAAGCCCGGAGAUGGGUACUGAGACACGGACCCAGGCCCUAUGGGGCGCAGCAGGCGAGAAAACUUUGCAAUGUGCGAAAGCACGACAAGGUUAAUCCGAGUGAUUUCUGCUAAAGAAAUCUUUUGCCAGUCGUAAAACCGCUGGUGAAUAAGGGGUGGGCAAGUUCUGGUGUCAGCCGCCGCGGUAAAACCAGCACCUCAAGUGGUCAGGAUGAUUAUUGGGCCUAAAGCAUCCGUAGCCGGCUUUGUAAGUUUUCGGUUAAAUCCAUGUGCUCAACGCAUGGGCUGCCGAAAAUACUGCAUAGCUAGGGAGUGGGAGAGGUAGACGGUACUCAGUAGGUAGGGGUAAAAUCCUUUGAUCUAUUGAUGACCACCUGUGGCGAAGGCGGUCUACCAGAACACGUUCGACGGUGAGGGAUGAAAGCUGGGGGAGCAAACCGGAUUAGAUACCCGGGUAGUCCCAGCCGUAAACGAUGCAGACUCGAUGAUGCAUUGGCAUAAUAGCCAAUGCGGUGUCGCAGGGAAGCCGUUAAGUCUGCCGCCUGGGAAGUACGUACGCAAGUAUGAAACUUAAAGGAAUUGGCGGGGGAGCACCACAAGGGGUGAAGCCUGCGGUCAAU
rnacentral:rRNA from 1 species